CUCAACAGUCUGUGUUUCAGGAAUAAUUUGUAAACAAACAAAUCAACUCUCUUCAACAGCAGCAUGUUUUUCUUUAUUUUAUUUAACUGCUAAUAGGGCUUUUUGGCUAUAACGUGUUUGAACCAUGUUUGAUCAACGCGUGCCUCAACCUGUGAUCGGAGAAUUGAGCUUCAAUGCACCGGAAAUAAUCAAGAUGAAGUUAAAUCCUCACCUCAUCUGCAAGCUGCAUCUUGUCCUCUCACCAACAAUGACCGCAGCGCCAUCUUGUGAAAGAAUAAAGAAACUGCUGCCUACGGAACAGGUGCAUACUGAGCAGGUGGGCUCUUACGUAGGAGCCUUGAGAGUUUGGAGCUGGAGUAAACCAUACUUCACACUAUUUUAGGAGCUGAGAGAUGCAAGACAAAUGGAAAGAGAAACAAAAGAGAACCUGUGUGCUUAAGGAUCUCAUUCCCUCUCUUUCCCACUAUCUCACUCUCUUUC